UACAGGGGGGGGCAAGCGUUGUUCGGAAUUACUGGGCGUAAAGGGUCUGUAGGUGGCCAACUAAGUCAGACGUGAAAUCCCUCAGCUUAACUGGGGAACUGCGUCUGAUACUGGAUGGCUUGAGUGUGGGAGAGGAAUGCGGAAUUCCAGGUGUAGCGGUGAAAUGCGUAGAUAUCUGGAGGAACACCGGUGGCGAAGGCGGCAUCCUGGACCGGUAUUGACGCUGAUGAGCGAAAGCCAGGGGAGCAAACGGG
rnacentral:rRNA from 1 species